rnacentral:misc_RNA from 1 species
CGGUCACGGGAUGCGACACGGCGACGUGGAGCGGAUCCCUGAAAACCGGUCUCAGUUCGGAUUGGAGUCUGCAACCCGACUCCAUGAAGGCGGAGUCGCUAGUAAUCGCGGAUCAGCAACGCCGCGGUGAAUGCGUUCCCGGGCCUUGUACACACCGCCCGUCAAGUCAUGAAAGUGGGUAGCACCCGAAGCCGGUGGCCUAACCCUUUGUGGAUGGAGCCGUCUAAGGUGAGACUCGUGAUUGGGACUAAGUCGUAACAAGGUAGCCGUACCGGAAGGUGCGGCUGGAUCACCUCCUUUCUACGGAGUUUUUUGAGGACGCCGGUCCGGCGUCCGUCGUGUGGCCCAUGCGCCGGGGAUGGUUCCCGGGUUCGUGUGGGCGUGCUGGUGUGGAAGAGAUCGUUGGCUUCGCGGGUCCUUGGGGCCGGCGGGGAGUGGUGCGGAUAUGCUUUUGGGUUCCCGGACCGCCACCCGCAUCCGUUUUGGGUGCGUGCGGUUUUCCGGAUGCCCCUGGCGGGACGCCGUCGGCCUUGCGGGCCGCGGGUCGGGUCCGGUCGGGGCGCGUGGUGGUUUGAGAACUGGAUAGUGGACGCGAGCAAUGCGAUGAUGUGAUGUCAUCGUUUGCUUUAUCGCGAUUUCGCCAGGCUUCUUUUUUUGGAGUCUGGUUUCGAGAUCGAUCGUUUUGUGAUCAUUUUUUACAGUGUGAUGAUUUGUCGUCUGGCGUUUGAAGCUAUCAUUAGGGUUUUUCGGGGCGUGUGCCGCCUGAUGGCGUAUGGUGGAUGCUCUGGCAAACAUACCACCCUCUUCGAAUGGACCCUCAGGCCACAUCGUGUCUCGGCAGAGUCGUAGCAAGUAGGGUACGGUAGCGUCGUUCGGGUACUUACCUACUACUAGGUAUUAGAGGACCAAACAUGGCAUCUCUA